AACACUGUUAACCUGCGGUACCUGCGGAGGGAUCAUUACCGAGUGCGGGUCCUUUGGGCCCAACCUCCCAUCCGUGUCUAUUGUACCCUGUUGCUUCGGCGGGCCCGCCGCUUGUCGGCCGCCGGGGGGGGCGCCUCUGCCCCCCGGGCCCGUGCCCGCCGGAGACCCCAACACGAACACUGUCUGAAAGCGUGCAGUCUGAGUUGAUUGAAUGCAAUCAGUUAAAACUUUUAACAACGG
rnacentral:misc_RNA from 1 species